rnacentral:rRNA from 1 species
CUACGGGCGGCUGCAGUGGGGAAUUUUGGACAAUGGGGGCAACCCUGAUCCAGCAAUGCCGCGUGAGUGAAGAAGGCCUUCGGGUUGUAAAGCUCUUUUGUCAGGGAAGAAACAGCAGCUCUAACACAGUCUGCGAAUGACGGUACCUGAAGAAUAAGCACCGGCUAACUACGUGCCAGCAGCCGCGGUAAUACGUAGGGUGCGAGCGUUAAUCGGAAUUACUGGGCGUAAAGCGUGCGCAGGCGGUUAUACAAGACAGGCGUGAAAUCCCCGGGCUUAACCUGGGAAUGGCGUCUGUGACUGUAUAGCUAGAGUGUGUCAGAGGGGGGUGGAAUUCCACGUGUAGCAGUGAAAUGCGUAGAUAUGUGGAGGAACACCAAUGGCGAAGGCAGCCCCCUGGGAUAACACUGACGCUCAUGCACGAAAGCGUGGGGAGCAAACAGGAUUAGAUACCCCCGUAGUC